CCAAACCGGUUCUGGCGAGGGUCCCUUCUAAAGCCCACUCUGGUGUUGCGUGUCCUGGUGGAGGUCAGCCCAGCAGCAGGUACAUCUGGGGUGAACGGCAGGUUCUGGGUACCCAGAGAGCUGGAGUGUCUUCCGGGAGUCUGGAAGGGUACCUGACUCGAAUGUCAGGGUUCUGUUGUGCAUAUGAACACCUGGCCCCUGGGCACCUCUCUCUAGAGUGCUCUCGGCCCGAACUUUCUAAAUCAGUGUGUUUGAUCCAGUAGGUAAGGGUGGCCUCUGUGGGGAUUUUGAGAAAACAUUUUUGUAUUUGAAAUAGAACAAGGAGCCCUGGCCAGUGUGGUUCAAUGAUUAGAGCGUCAGCCCACGCAUGGAAGGGUCUCAGGAUCAAUUCCCAGUCAAGGGCAUGUACCUGGGUUGCAGGUUCAAUUCCCAGCCUUGCCCGAGGUGUGUGUGGGAGGCACCCAAUCAAUGUCUCUCACAUCAAUGUUUCUCUGUCUCUUUUUCUCCUCUCUUCCCUCUGAUCCACUCUCUCUAAAAAUCAAUGGGAAAAAUAUCCUCGGGUGAGGAUUAAGGAAAAAAAAAAUGGAACAAGGAUUCAAGUGUAAAAUUCACAUGGAUUUUUAAGGUAAGCCAUGCAGAGCUCUGUUUUAAAUGACUCAGAGUUGCUGAGCCUCAAAAAGAGGCAUGUAGUAUGUCCUUUGAGGCCUUCCCUACACGUGCCCUUCUCCAGAUCAUCCUCACAUUUAGAGGCUCAGCACAAGCCCAACUCCCCACUCCUCUCCUUGGGCCCCCCAGGGGUGUCCUCUGCACCGAGCACCGCAGUCCCACCUGGCUCACCUGCUCCCGACUCUGUCCCAUCCAGUGUCCCUCCAACCCUUUCAGGCCUGGGUCACCUUUGUGUGUCUCCUGCUGCUGAGCUCUGCUGGCGUCCAAUAAACUUCCUUCCCUGCGAGACUGGUUCCCCCUGAGCCCAGGGUCCGAUCUGGCUGAGGCCUCAGCCCUCACCCUGGGGGCUCUGAAGGUGGAGAUGAGCCCCGCCCCCUCUGAUCUUUCCUACUUGGCCUGACAGCUGUCUCUGAGGUAGCAGUGAGCUGAUGAAUAACUCCUGAGCCUGGUGAGUGCAAACGUCAUGGUUCAGCUCUCUUCAUCCAAUGGUGAGGCAAACCCUCGAUUCCAUGUCACAGAAGUUCCGGCCAUUGUUCCAGGCCACGGCCCCUUUAAAGAAAAUGGUGAUUAUUUUCACCAGUAGGGAGGCGGCUAAAGCUGACCUGUGGGGUCCUUUGGCUUUACCUAAAGAACAAUGGGGGUCCAGAGGGUUAGGAGGAAGGGGCAGGCCCGUGGGAGUGUGUGACCGGUGCUUCCUUAGAUAUAGGGGUGGGAUCCAAUGAGGAAUCUGGGAAGUCUGUGCAGUUGGGGCAAUGCCCUGGGGUCAAGAUGUCGGACCAGGGGUGGCAGGAGCCUGGGCGGAGUCCCCAGGCCCGGGGAGCAAAGAGAACAGAAGUGGCUCUGGGCUUAGUGUGGCAUAAGGCUGUGUUUGGGAAAUAAGAAACUUACACCCAUGACCUAAACAGAAUAAAACAGCAGUAUUAAUGAGGCUUCGCAGUAAGAACGCCGGGCAGGACUGUGACUUUACAUUGAGAAAUACCGGACUGAGCAGAAUGGGCACUCGGGAAGCUCGAGGAGGGAGAGAAAGUGGCCAAGAGAGCUGGAGGAAGCUGAGGUGGGAGUGGGCACACCUCUAAUGAGGGUGAGAGGACUCAACUCCCUCAGUAGCCACAUGCACAUUCCACUCCCAAGAGGGUAAAACACCAACCUGGCAAAGAUGCACUCAUCUCAAUGUCUCAGCACAACCCCUUGCCUCUGGGAAAGCAGUCCCGUCACUCCAGCAGCCACAGAGCUGAAGCCCAAGGACACAUUGCCAGGCGCAAGCACUUGCUUUCUUUUUCAGUUCUGCCUGGACUCCUGGCUCAACACAUCCAAGUCGGGGCUGCAACUCUGCUCGACAUUGCUGUUUCCAAACGCCAGCCUAUGACAUUUCACUUCCCAUAAGAUUACACCCAAUACUUUCUGAUUUACAUUCCUAUGGAUUUUUUUUCCUUUUUUUUUUUAAAUUAAUGAAACAAACUCAACGCAGAGCAGGGAUUUGAAAAGCACAGCUAGGAGCUUUUUAGUUUGCCACGAAGAAUGCCCUGAUUAUCCCACAAUAAAACAAGCCACUGCAGAAUGAGAAUAUAUCCAGCCAGGAAACUGGACGUGAGGAAAAGCAUCUGGACACAUACAGCCUGGCCUGGAACAGCUGCCCCCAUGGGGACUCACCUCUCUUGAAAAGAACCACCCUCCCCGUCCCCCGACAGCAGGUAAAAGAUUCAACGCAGCAGCCUUCAUGAGCCAGAAGGAAAAACCAGUCAUUUUGAAAUCAACAUCCAAGGGAGGAUAGAAAGAACUCUGGAGUUUGGAAAUGACAACAACAGAUGAUCACACACACACACACACACACACACACACACACACAAACACACACACACCCCUGCUUCUCCGUCACAUGCUUUAUGUGACAUGGCAGCCUCCGCCAGCACCUCACGGCAGCUUUGAUGAUUUAAGGCAAAUGCAGUGCUCUUGAGGUCACACUGCUCUUAUCCACUUCAUCAACAAAGGUUAAGCGAACACCUACUGUGUGCCGCACAUUUCUCCUGGGCACUGGAGAGACAGCAAAGAGCAAAACUGAGCCCAUGCGCUCAAGAAGCCCACAUUUCAGUGGAAUAGAAAGACCCCCCCAAAAAUAGAAACCAGAUAAAGGUUACAGUGUGUCAUAUGGUGAUAAUCACUGUGAGAAAAAUACAGCAGGGAAGGGAGAGGGGAGAAUUUGGAUGGGAUUGGUGUAAAUGUACGUCAACAGAGAAGCACUCGCUGGGAAGGUGACAUCUGAGGAUGUGGGGAAAGCCCUAAGGACACCUGGGGAGAGCUUCCUCCACAGAGGACUAGCCAGUGCCAAGGUCCCAAGGCUGGAGCAGCUCUAGACUCACAGCAGGCCUAUACCUCCAGACAAACCCCUGGGUGCCAGGCAGGGACCUCAGCAGCCCUGAAACACCCCUUCUGGGCACCUCUACCCACAGGAGUGGGAGCCUGAGAAACAGGGCUGCCCGUGAGGACCCAGCACCUCCUGUCUGAUGACAGCCUAACCAAGGCUGUGCUGUCCAGCAUCAGUCCAAGGCUGAGAUGCUAGUCACUAGACCACCACCGCUGCCAAAGCACGCAGCAGUGUCCCCUGCGCACCACACUAUGGGCACGAUGACACAGGAACCAGUCACGAGCAGCCUUCCUCCGUCGUGGGACUCCUUCCUGCCUCCGCCACAUGAGCCAGCCAAGCACCUCAGCGCAAGACCAGUCUCAGGGACUCUCCCAGAUGGAGAUGUUUACAGGGUAGACUCAGUGCUUCGUGCUAUCUCUUCCCACAGGCAUAACUCACUAGCAUGGGUGUUAUUCUAAAAGGCUAAUUUUAAAAAGCAUCUUGAGAAGGAACUGAGCUGCACAAACAGCAUCUGACACCUCCAGGAUCUGGAAUACACUGCUGACCAGUGGUCAUGGGUGGCAGUGAGGGCUCCUUGAGGCAUCCCCAUCCAGCCUGCCAGCCCACAGGUCCUGUGGGUGAGUCAUUCCCUCCCAGCACACCUCUAUUGGACUUCUGGUUCCUCAACAGCUUCUGAAAUUUCAAUCUCAGGAGAGAAAAAAAAAUGUAACCCUCAUCCAGGGAUAUG